UUAAUGGCGGACGUGUGACUCAGGUGUAGGUCUACAGUCUUUUUUUAUUACAUCGUCUGAAAUAGUACACGUGUGUUCGGUUACUCACUGUGCAUUGUGCAGUCAAAGUAAUCAGUGUUUUCGAUUAGUUUAAAUAAGCCUUGUGUUGUCUCCUACAUUAUUUUAAUAACUGUGAUUGUGCAAUCAGUGUCUUGAAACGAAACUUCAGCUGCGCUGACGUCUCGUGGACUGCACGGGAAACUGAUAACACUGGGAAGUGGCGCGUACUGAAUCACGUGGCUACGUGGCUCAGAAAAUAGUGUUUCCAAAGAGUCGUUGGGAUUCAGUUUCUUUCAUGGUUACUGCGCCGUUGCUGCAGGAGACGUCAGAAAAUGACGCUGUGACGACAACGAGCCACUGUGUUUUUGAGAGCUGCUUUGUGCCGUCAUCUCCAGACGGCUGCUAACAAGUUGUGAUUGCUAGCGUAAAGCAAUGCCAUGGCAACUAGGUGUCAUUUUCGAGCAACAAGGACUCAUGAUCAUCGUCUACAAGUGGCAUUCACACACGCAGGUCCGGUGAUGCAAGUAGACGCUCCGAGCACGAACAAUGAUUUUGUCUCCACGGAGUAAGCUCAGAGGAAGAGGAGGACUGACUGAAGAGGACGCCGAUCGUUGGGAGAGUAUAAGGUCACGUCAAUUGCUGUUAAUACGAUAGUAAACUGUAGUUCGUUGUGUUGCGGUGUGAACUCACACUGAGAGCCCAAGCAGCUUCCUCC